AACGCACCUUGCGCCCUUUGGUAUUCCGAAGGGCAUGCCUGUUUGAGUGUCAUUAAAUUCUCAACUUCAAAAGUUUAUUGUUUUUGAAGCUUGGAUGUUGGAGGAUUUUUGCAGGCAUAUAUUCAAUGUCAGCUCCUCUUAAAUGCAUUAGCGGAACUUGCAUGUUCAGGCUUUGGUUUUGAUAUCUAUCUAUGCCAUGGUUUGAAAGGGUGGAUUUGUUCAGCUUCUAACGGUCCAUUGUGGACUGUCUCUUUUUGGAGGCAUCAUCUUUUUGACUUGACCUCAAAUCAGGUAGGAUUACCCGCUGAACUUAA
rnacentral:misc_RNA from 1 species